AUUGGACCUGAUAUCCGACAGACUAACCCGCUGAACUUAAGCCAAUUCAUACGCCGGAGGAAA
rnacentral:rRNA from 1 species